CGCUUUUUUGUUAAGUAAUGACAGUUUGGUAAAUUUGUUAAGUAAUCGUCUCUUUUUCCAUUAUCAGUUUCUCUUCCAUCAAUUCAUUUUCUCUCCCCCCCUACAAACUCUCUCUUCACGCACCCUCAAUUUUGCAGAUUUCAUCUUCUCAUCUUCGUGCAUCGUUCUAGCAAGUGUAUGGGCAACAGCAAUGCAUUCAAAGAGGGAGUGCAGAAAUUGUGAAUAUUUGCUACUGCAGAACCAAUUACUUAUGGAUCAACUAGAGCAUUCACGCGUACAGGUACUUCACUGUCCGCUAAACCAGAAGUCACUUCUAAUGCAGCAGCUGAAUAUGUACUUGCUUCUCCUAUGGCAUGAAGUUUCCUGCCCAACAAUUUCCAACUGUGAACUCGUUAAUCUUAACCAUCUGCAAGAUAUCUACCUGCAAGUGAGCAAGAAAAGUUAAGGUGGAACAAUUGGAGUAUCUCCUUUUGCUUGUAUAUUGUCAGAUUCUCAAGUAUGCUGGGCAUUCAACAAAAAUAUGUAAUACUGUUUGGUUAAAUUUGCUAUAGUCUGUUCAGAUUUUGCGGAUAUAAUUAAUAUAUGUGUUUUGGUUACAAUUUACAAGUGACUAAGCUGCACAUUUUGAUGCAAGUAGAAGACUCUUUAUAUACAAGAAUUUGAUAGAUAAUAUUCAAAGAAACAAAUGACACUAUUGUCAUA